UACAGAGAGUGCAAACGUUGUUCGGAAUUACUGGGCUUGAAGCGCACGUAGGCGGCGUUGUAAGUGUCGGGUGAAAUCCCACGGCUCACCCGUGGAACUGCCCGGCAUACUGCGAUGCUAGAGUGUGGUAGGGGAGAGCGGAACUCCUGGUGGAGCGGUGAAAUGCGUAGAUAUCAGGAGGAACACCGGUGGUGUAGACGGCUUUCUGGACCGUAACUGACGCUGAAACACGAAAGCGUGGGUAGCAAACAGG
rnacentral:rRNA from 1 species